rnacentral:rRNA from 1 species
UACGUAGGGGGCUAGCGUUGUCCGGAAUCAUUGGGCGUAAAGAGCGUGUAGGCGGUCCGGUAAGUCCGUUGUGAAAGUCAAGGGCUCAACCCUUGAAUGCCGGCGGAUACUGUCGGGCUAGAGUCCGGAAGAGGCGAGUGGAAUUCCUGGUGUAGCGGUGAAAUGCGCAGAUGUCAGGAGGAACACCGAUUGCGAAGGCAGCUCGCUGGGACGUUACUGACGCUGAGACGCGAAAGCGUGGGGAGCAAACAGG